rnacentral:rRNA from 1 species
UACGUAGGGUACAAGCGUUGUCCGGAAUUAUUGGGCGUAAAGAGCUCGUAGGCGGUUCGUCGCGUCUGCUGUGGAAACGCAAGGCUCAACCUUGCGCGUGCAGUGGGUACGGGCGGACUAGAGUGUAGUAGGGGAGUCUGGAAUUCCUGGUGUAUCGGUGAAAUGCGCAGAUAUCAGGAGGAACACCGGUGGCGAAGGCGGGACUCUGGGCUGUAACUGACGCUGAGGAGCGAAAGCAUGGGGAGCGAACAGGAUUAGAUACCCU